AGCGCAGGCGGGAGAACAAGUUGGAAGUGAAAUCCAUGGGCUCAACCCAUGAACUGCUUUCAAAACUGUUUUUCUUGAGUAGUGCAGAGGUAGGCGGAAUUCCCGGUGUAGCGGUGGAAUGCGUAGAUAUCGGGAGGAACACCAGUGGCGAAGGCGGCCUACUGGGCACCAACUGACGCUGAGGCUCGAAAGUGUGGGUAGCAAACA
rnacentral:rRNA from 1 species